rnacentral:rRNA from 1 species
AUUGACCGCUGGCGGCAGGCCUAACACAUGCAAGUAGAACGAGGGGCGGAAGGGUGAGUAAUGUCUGGGAAACUGCCUGAUGGAGGGGGAUAACUACUGGAAAAGGUAGCUAAUAGCGCAUACGAUCGGAUGUGCACAUAUGGGAUUAGCUAGGAGGUGGGGUAAAGGCUCACCUAGUCGACGAUCCCUAGCUGGUCUGAGAGGAUGACCAGCCACACUGGAACUGAUACACGGUCCAGACUCCUACGUGAGGCAGCAGUGUGGAAGAUUGCACCAUGGUCGCAAGCCUGAUGCACCCAUGCCGCGUGUAUGAAGAAGGCCUUCGGGUUGUAAAGUUCUUUCAGCGGGGAGGCGUUACCCGCAUAAUACGCACCGGCUAACUCCGUGCCAGCAGCCGCGGUGAUAC